GCAGCCGCGGUAAUACGGAGGAUGCGAGCGUUAUCCGGAUUUAUUGGGUUUAAAGGGAGCGUAGACGGGAUGUUAAGUCAGUUGUGAAAGGCUGCGGCUCAACCGCAGCACUGCAGUUGAUACUGGCGUCCUUGAGUGCGGUUGAGGUGUGUGGAAUUCGUGGUGUAGCGGUGAAAUGCUUAGAUAUCACGAAGAACUCCGAUUGCGAAGGCAGCACACUAAGCCGCUACUGACGUUGAGGCUCGAAAGUGUGGGUAUCAAACAGGAUUAGAUACCCC
rnacentral:rRNA from 1 species